UACGAGGGGUCCUAGCGUUGUUCGGAAUCAUGGGGCGUAAAGGGUGCGUAGGUGGCCAUUCAAGUCAGUUGUGAAAUCCCCGGGCUCAACCCGGGAAGUGCUUCUGAUACUGUUUGGCUUGAGUACUGGAGAGGAUAGUAGAAUUCCAGGUGUAGUGGUGAAAUACGUAGAUAUCUGGAGGAAUACCGGUGGCGAAGGCGGCUAUCUGGCCAUGUACUGACACUGAAGCACGAAAGCUAGGGGAGCAAACAGG
rnacentral:rRNA from 1 species